CUUACACAUGCAAGUCGAACGGCAGCACGGGGGCAACCCUGGUGGCGAGUGGCGAACGGGUGAGUAAUACAUCGGAACGUGCCCUGUAGUGGGGGAUAACUAGUCGAAAGAUUAGCUAAUACCGCAUACGACCUGAGGGUGAAAGCGGGGGACCGCAAGGCCUCGCGCUACAGGAGCGGCCGAUGUCUGAUUAGCUAGUUGGUGGGGUAAAAGCCUACCAAGGCGACGAUCAGUAGCUGGUCUGAGAGGACGAUCAGCCACACUGGGACUGAGACACGGCCCAGACUCCUACGGGAGGCAGCAGUGGGGAAUUUUGGACAAUGGGGGCAACCCUGAUCCAGCAAUGCCGCGUGUGUGAAGAAGGCCUUCGGGUUGUAAAGCACUUUUGUCCGGAAAGAAAUGGCUCUGGUUAAUACCCGGGGUCGAUGACGGUACCGGAAGAAUAAGCACCGGCUAACUACGUGCCAGCAGCCGCGGUAAUACGUAGGGUGCGAGCGUUAA
rnacentral:rRNA from 1 species